rnacentral:misc_RNA from 1 species
UCCGGUUUAGACCGGCGGUCAGCGCCAUGUCAAGCCCUGGUAAGGUUCUUCGCGUAGCUUCGAAUUAAACCGCACGCUCCGCUGCUUGUGCGGGCCCCCGUCAAUUCCUUUGAGUUUUAACCUUGCGGUCGUAGUCCCCAGGCGGAGUACUUAUCGCGUUAGCUUCGCUACACAGGGAGUCGAUACCCCAUACAGCUAGUACUCAUCGUUUACGGCGUGGACUAC